rnacentral:rRNA from 1 species
AUUGAACGCUGGCGGCAGGCCUAACACAUGCAAGUCGAACGAGUGGCGGACGGGUGAGUAAUGUCUGGGAAACUGCCUGAUGGAGGGGGAUAACUACUGGAAACGGUAGCUAAUCCCGCAUACCAUCAGAUUUCCCCAGAUGGGAUUAGCUAGUUGGUGGGGUAACGGCUCACCAAGGCGACGAUCCCUAGCUGGUCUGAGAGGAUGACCGGCCACACUGGAACUGAGACACGGUCCAGACGCCUACGGGAGGCAGCAGUGGGGAAUAUUGCACAAUGGGCGCAAGCCUGAUGCAGCCAUGCCGCUUGUAUGAAGAAGGCCUUCGGGUGGUAAAGUACUUUCAGCGGGGAGGCGUUACCCGCAGAAGAAGCACCGGCUAACUCCGUGCCAGCAGCCGCGGUAAUUC